UACGUAGGGGGCUAGCGUUGUCCGGAUUUAUUGGGCGUAAAGAGCGUGUAGGCGGCUAGAUAGGUCCGUUGUGAAAACUCGAGGCUCAACCUCGAGACGUCGAUGGAAACCAUCUGGCUAGAGUCCGGAAGAGGAGAGUGGAAUUCCUGGUGUAGCGGUGAAAUGCGCAGAUAUCAGGAAGAACACCCGUGGCGAAGGCGGCUCUCUGGGACGGUACUGACGCUGAGGAGCGAAAAGCGUGGGGGAGCGAACAGG
rnacentral:rRNA from 1 species